rnacentral:rRNA from 1 species
GACGAACGCUGGCGGCAGGCCUAACACAUGCAAGUCGAGCGGAGCGGCGGACGGGUGAGUAAUGCCUAGGAAUCUGCCUGGUAGCGGGGGAUAACGUCCGGAAACGGGCGCUAAUACCGCAUACUAUCAGAUGAGCCUAGGUCGGAUUAGCUAGUUGGGGGGGCAAAGGCCUACCAAGGCGACGAUCCGUAACUGUGCUGAGAGGAUGAUCAGUCACACUGGAACGGAGACACGGUCCAGGCUCCUACGGGAGGCAGCAGUGGGGAAUAUUGGACAAUGGGCGAAAGCCUGAGCCAGCCAUGCCGGGGGUGUGAAGAAGGUCUUCGGAGUGUAAAGUACUUUAAGUUGGGAGGCGUUACCAACAGAAUAAGCACCGGCUAACGUCGUGCCAGCAGCCGCGGUAAUAC